rnacentral:rRNA from 2 species
GUUUGAUCCUGGCUCAGGAUGAACGCUGGCGGCGUGCUUAACACAUGCAAGUCGAACGAUGAUCUCCAGCUUGCUGGGGGGAUUAGUGGCGAACGGGUGAGUAACACGUGAGUAACCUGCCCUUGACUCUGGGAUAAGCCUGGGAAACUGGGUCUAAUACCGGAUAUGACCAUCUGGCGCAUGUCAUGGUGGUGGAAAGCUUUUUUGUGGUUUUGGAUGGACUCGCGGCCUAUCAGCUUGUUGGUGGGGUAAUGGCCUACCAAGGCGACGACGGGUAGCCGGCCUGAGAGGGUGACCGGCCACACUGGGACUGAGACACGGCCCAGACUCCUACGGGAGGCAGCAGUGGGGAAUAUUGCACAAUGGGCGCAAGCCUGAUGCAGCGACGCCGCGUGAGGGAUGACGGCCUUCGGGUUGUAAACCUCUUUCAGUAGGGAAGAAGCGUAAGUGACGGUACCUGCAGAAGAAGCGCCGGCUAACUACGUGCCAGCAGCCGCGGUAAUACGUAGGGCGCAAGCGUUAUCCGGAAUUAUUGGGCGUAAAGAGCUCGUAGGCGGUUUGUCGCGUCUGCUGUGAAAGACCGGGGCUCAACUCCGGUUCUGCAGUGGGUACGGGCAGACUAGAGUGCAGUA